UACGGAGGGUGCAAGCGUUGUUCGGAAUUACUGGGCGUAAAGCGCGUGUAGGCGGCUCUCUAAGUCUGAUGUGAAAGCCCGGGGCUUACCCCCGGAAGUGCAUAGGAAACUGGGGAGCUAGAGUAUCGGAGAGGAGGGUGGAAUUCCUGGUGUAGCGGUGAAAUGCGUAGAUAUCAGGAAGAACACCGGUGGCGAAGGCGGCCCUCUGGACGAAUACUGACGCUGAGACGCGAAAGCGUGGGGAGCAAACAGG
rnacentral:rRNA from 1 species